GACGAACGCUGGCGGCGUGCCUAAUACAUGCAAGUCGAGCGAGUCUGCCUUGAAGAUCGGAGUGCUUGCACUCUGUGAAACAAGAUACAGGCUAGCGGCGGACGGGUGAGUAACACGUGGGUAACCUGCCCAAGAGAUCGGGAUAACACCUGGAAACAGAUGCUCAUACCGGAUAACAACAGAUGAUGCCUAUCAACUGUUUAAAAGAUGGUUCUGCUAUCACUCUUGGAUGGACCUGCGGUGCAUUAGCUAGUUGGUAGGGUAACGGCCUACCAAGGCGAUGAUGCAUAGCCGAGUUGAGAGACUGAUCGGCCACAUUGGGACUGAGACACGGCCCAAACUCCUACGGGAGGCAGCAGUAGGGAAUCUUCCACAAUGGACGCAAGUCUGAUGGAGCAACGCCGCGUGAGUGAAGAAGGGUUUCGGCUCGUAAAGCUCUGUUGUUGGUGAAGAAGGACAGGGGUAGUAACUGACCUUUGUUUGACGGUAAUCAAUUAGAAAGUCACGGCUAACUACGUG
rnacentral:rRNA from 1 species